rnacentral:rRNA from 1 species
CAGGACUUGACAUCCCUCUGACAGUCUCUUAACCGAGACGUCCUUCGGGCAGAGGUGACAGGUGGUGCAUGGUUGUCGUCAGCUCGUGUCGUGAGAUGUUGGGUUAAGUCCCGCAACGAGCGCAACCCUUGUCUUUAGAUGCCAUCAUUUAGUUGGGCACUCUAGAGAGACUGCCGAGGAUAAACCGGAGGAAGGUGGGGAUGACGUCAAAUCAUCAUGCCCCUUAUGUCUUGGGCUACACACGUGCUACAAUGGUCGGUACAACGGGGUGCGAAGGAGCGAUCCGGAGCGAAUCCCAAGAAGCCGAUCUCAGUUCGGAUUGCAGGCUGCAACUCGCCUGCAUGAAGUUGGAGUUGCUAGUAAUCGCGAAUCAGAACGUCGCGGUGAAUGCGUUCCC